GGGUUGUGAGGUUAAGCGACUAAGCGUACACGGUGGAUGCCCUGGCAGUCAGAGGCGAUGAAGGACGUGCUAAUCUGCGAUAAGCGCCGGUAAGGUGAUAUGAACCGUUAUAACCGGCGAUUUCCGAAUGGGGAAACCCAGUGUGACUCGUCACACUAUCAUUAACUGAAUCCAUAGGUUAAUGAGGCGAACCGGGGGAACUGAAACAUCUAAGUACCCCGAGGAAAAGAAAUCAACCGAGAUUCCCCCAGUAGCGGCGAGCGAACGGGGAGGAGCCCAGAGCCUGAAUCAGCAUGUGUGUUAGUGGAAGCGUCUGGAAAGGCGCGCGAUACAGGGUGACAGCCCCGUACACAAAAGCGCAUGUGCUGUGAGCUCGAUGAGUAGGGCGGGACACGUGGUAUCCUGUCUGAAUAUGGGGGGACCAUCCUCCAAGGCUAAAUACUCCUGACUGACCGAUAGUGAACCAGUACCGUGAGGGAAAGGCGAAAAGAACCCCGGCGAGGGGAGUGAAAAAGAACCUGAAACCGUGUACGUACAAGCAGUGGGAGCACAGGUUUACCUGUGUGACUGCGUACCUUUUGUAUAAUGGGUCAGCGACUUAUAUUCUGUAGCAAGGUUAACCGAAUAGGGGAGCCGUAGGGAAACCGAGUCUUAACCGGGCGUUAAGUUGCAGGGUAUAGACCCGAAACCCGGUGAUCUAGCCAUGGGCAGGUUGAAGGUUGGGUAACACUAACUGGAGGACCGAACCGACUAAUGUUGAAAAAUUAGCGGAUGACCUGUGGCUGGGGGUGAAAGGCCAAUCAAACCGGGAGAUAGCUGGUUCUCCCCGAAAGCUAUUUAGGUAGCGCCUCGUGAACUCAUCUCCGGGGGUAGAGCACUGUUUCGGCUAGGGGGCCAUCCCGGCUUACCAACCCGAUGCAAACUGCGAAUACCGGAGAAUGUUAUCACGGGAGACACACGGCGGGUGCUAACGUCCGUCGUGAAGAGGGAAACAACCCAGACCGCCAGCUAAGGUCCCAAAGUCAUGGUUAAGUGGGAAACGAUGUGGGAAGGCCCAGACAGCCAGGAUGUUGGCUUAGAAGCAGCCAUCAUUUAAAGAAAGCGUAAUAGCUCACUGGUCGAGUCGGCCUGCGCGGAAGAUGUAACGGGGCUAAACCAUGCACCGAAGCUGCG
rnacentral:rRNA from 1 species